rnacentral:lncRNA from 1 species
CCGUCGCCUACCUCCCGCCCAACAUUAUCAUCAAACCACCGCCCACCUCCCACACCAGCCCCAUUUUUUAUAUUUAUUAAAUUAUUCCACCAAACAGAAUUAAACCGCCCCUCCUCUACGAUUAUACCUCCUACCUCCCCAUAUCUACCUGUUAAAACUCUAUACCACAAACUCCUAUUUUCAACCCACAUACGCCAACACCAUUUACCAAGUAAUGCGAAAUUAAACUCCCGAAUCCUCCGCACUCCUAAGCCUCCAUCCUCCUUUUUGGAACAAAUAGUGUCCCAGUUAAUCCAAGAAAUUUUCCUAACCUCCUCACAACCCCCCAAAAAAAACAAUUAAAAAUAGAUUCAAUAGAGGAAAUGAUACCUGCGGGAGCUUUGAAGAAGGAAAGAAAAUAGACCGGAAGAGAGGACAAGACAGACUU